rnacentral:rRNA from 1 species
GACGAACGCUGGCGGCGUGCUUAACACAUGCAAGUCGAACGGAAAGGCCCCUUUGGGGGUACUCGAGUGGCGAACGGGUGAGUAACACGUGAGUAACCUGCCCUUGACUUCGGGAUAACUUCAGGAAACUGGGGCUAAUACCGGAUAGGAAUCCUUGCUGCAUGGUGGGGGUUGGAAAGCUUCGGCGGUUUUGGAUGGACUCGCGGCUUAUCAGCUUGUUGGUGGGGUAGUGGCUUACCAAGGCUUUGACGGGUAGCCGGCCUGAGAGGGCGACCGGCCACAUUGGGACUGAGAUACGGCCCAGACUCCUACGGGAGGCAGCAGUGGGGAAGAGUGCAAAAUGGGCGGAAGCCUGAUGCAGCAACGCCGCGUGCGGGAUGACGGCCUUCGGGUUGUAAACCGCUUUCAGCAGGGGCGAAGCUUGUGGUGACGGUACCUGCAGAAGAAGCACCGGCUAACUACGUG